rnacentral:rRNA from 1 species
GAUGAACGCUAGCGGGAGGCCUAACACAUGCAAGCCGAGCGGUAUUGUUUCUUCGGAAAUGAGAGAGCGGCGUACGGGUGCGUAACACGUGUGCAACCUGCCUUUAUCUGGGGGAUAGCCUUUCGAAAGGAAGAUUAAUACUCCAUAAUAUAUUGAACGGCAUCGUUUAAUAUUGAAAGCUCCGGCGGAAAGAGAUGGGCACGCGAAAGAUUAGAUAGUUGGUGAGGUAACGGCCCACCAAGGCGAUGAUCUUUAGGGGGCCUGAGAGGGUGAUCCCCCACACUGGUACUGAGACACGGACCAGACUCCUACGGGAGGCAGCAGUGAGGAAUAUUGGUCAAUGGGUGCAAGCCUGAACCAGCCAUCCCGCGUGAAGGACGACUGCUCUAUGGGUUGUAAACUUCUUUUGUAUAGGGAUAAACCUACCCUCGAGAGGGUAGCUGAAGGUACUAUACGAAUAAGCACCGGCUAACUCCGUGCCAGCAGCCGCAGUAA